GACAUAUUUGUCUAUCAUGUUACAUUCGCCCAUCAUCUUUACUGAUGAAUAUUCUGAUUUACCAAUUGAACAAACAUUAAAAUUGAAUUGAAAUGUCAUGCAAAAAGAUUUGAAAGAAAAAUUGAUAGAAGGUGAAAAGAAAAUACAGAAGGAAUAUAUAGAUGGUAACUUAUUUGAAAGUUUCAAACACCUAAUGACCCACCUGCGAUGGGUUGGUGGAUAGAGUGCAUUUCAACAUUGAGUUCAUGGGUUCGGGCCUUUUUUUUUUUUUGAGAUAUAACUGAAAAUUUAUUAGAACACCUGCUGAAAAGUGGGAAAAGAACACAACACAACACUAAUGUUCAAAAAGAGAAGAAAAGUUUGCAGCCUUUGCUGCAUUUACAUAUAGAGCCAAUCCAUAACAGAACCUUUACCUUUGAUAAUCACCCCAUCCACUGAGGACCUCUCAUUUUUGAAACAACGAUCAUUCUGCUCCUUCCAUUAAUGCGGGGGCAUUUUCACACCGGGCUCGAGUGGGGUGGCCUGUGGGAUGUAGGGGCACACUCGGGGUAAGCGGCCCGCAGAACCCAUGGAUUUGGGGCCCACGAUGAGGGUUUGGCCGAUGAUCUAACCCAUGGACUUGGGGCCUGAGCUAUGAGAUAAAUAGAUUAAUUCGCCAUGCUCUAUCAGUUCAAACUUUUAGAGCAAGUGGUUAAUUGUCCUGCAUCGAAUUAGUAUCAGAGCAGAAGGUCUUGUGUUCGAGACUCCUCACCGAGGGUGAUUAAUGCAGAGGCAUUUUCACACCGGGCUUGAGUGGGGUGGCCUGUAGGAUGUAGGGGCACACUUGGGGUGGGUGGCCCGCUAGCAAUGGAUAGAUAGGUGGUCAAUUGUCUCUGCAUUUUUCUUACACACUAGACAUAUAUUAGGAAGGACUAGAGACCUUGUCUGAAAAUUAGCAAUAGUCAGAACUCUCUUUCUUCCAACCAGUCACUUGAAAACUGUAACACAAGGAGGGGUUCUGUAGAACCGAUGAUGGAAUGGAUGAGAAGGGGCUAGGUUUGCGAAACGGAUCAUUUAAUAAGCUGAAAAAUGAGCGAAUGGAGGAGGAUGAUUAUCCAUGUUACCUAUCAUAAAAAAAAAAGAA